rnacentral:rRNA from 1 species
AUUGAACGCUGGCGGUAUGCUUAAGACAUGCAAGUCGUGCGGUAGAAGGCUUCGGCCUUUGAGAGCGGCGGACGGGAGAGUAACACGUGGGAAUCUGCCUAUUAGUGGGGGACAGCCCAGCGAAAGCUGGAUUAAUACCGCAUACGCCCUACGGGGGAAAGCAGCAAUGCGUUAAUAGAUGAGCCCGCGUAAGAUCAGGUAGUUGGUAAGGUAAAGGCUGACCAAGGCGACGAGCUUUAGCUGGUCUGAGAGGAUGGCCAGCCACAUCGGGACUGAGACACGGCCCGGUCUCCUACGGGAUGAAGCAGUCGGGAAUAUUGGACAAUGGGCGCAAGCCUGAUCCAGCAAUACCUCGUGUGUGAAGAAGGCCUGCGGGUUGUAAAGCACUUUCAGUUGGGAAGAUAAUGACGUUAACAACAGAAGAAGCACCGGCUAACUCCGUGCCAGCAGCCGCGGUAAUAC